CACGUAGGGGUGCGAGCGUUGUCCGGAAUUAUUGGGCGUAAAGAGCUCGUAAGGCGGUGUGUCGCGUCGGCCGUGAAAACCUGCAGCUUAACUGUGGGCUUGCGGUCGAUACGGGCAUCACUGGAGUUCGGCAGGGGGAGACUGGAAUUCCUGGUGUAGCGGUGAAAUGCGCAGAUAUCAGGAGGAACACCGGUGGGCGAAGGCGGUUCUCUGGGC
rnacentral:rRNA from 1 species